CAAAGUCAUGUUUCUUUUUUUUCUUGUAUGUGCGGCUUUUAUUCCAAUCUGGUGUGAUGUGACUACGAUCACCGCGAAAAUGUGUACGCCGAAGACAAAUGGCAUAUGUCGCAAGGAAAAUACAUAUGAAUACCGGAAAAAUAAGUGUGUGCGGGUAGAAAUGAAUACGGGACCUUGUGGCUUCUUCUUGUUCGAAGAGGCAUGCAAUUCUACGUGCCAUAACUUUAUAUACCUUAUUGAGGGCAAGCCUAUUGUAAUGUCUACAGUAAAGCCUAUAAGAAAGCCUACAGUAAAACCUAGCAACAUGGUUGUGUAGAUAGAAUCAAUAUUGGAGUAAAAUUGUUUAGCUAAUAUCUUUUAUGAUUUAGUUUAAAUUUCAAAUAAAAGUUGAUAAUUAUAUUUCAUUUUCA